rnacentral:rRNA from 1 species
UACGUAGGAGGCGAGCGUUUGUCCGGAAUUACUGGGCGUAAAGAGCGCGUAGGCGGCACGAUACGACCACGGUGAAAGCCCCCGGCUCAACUGGGAGGGUGCGCCGAAUACUGAGAGGCUAGAGUGUGGGAGAGGAAGUGGAAUUCCUGGUGUAGCGGUGAAAUGCGUAGAUAUCGGAAGGAACACCUGUGGCGAAAGCGGCUCACUGGACCAUUACUGACGCUGAUGCACGAAAGCUAGGGGGAGCAAACAGG